rnacentral:rRNA from 1 species
GAUGAACGCUGGCGGCGUGCCUAAUACAUGCAAGUCGAGCGAACAGACGAGGAGCUUGCUCCUCUGACGUUAGCGGCGGACGGGUGAGUAACACGUGGAUAACCUACCUAUAAGACUGGGAUAACUUCGGGAAACCGGAGCUAAUACCGGAUAAUAUAUUGAACCGCAUGGUUCAAUAGUGAAAGACGGUUUUGCUGUCACUUAUAGAUGGUUCCGCGCCGCAUUAGCUAGUUGGUAAGGUAACGGCUUACCAAGGCGACGAUGCGUAGCCGACCUGAGAGGGUGAUCGGCCACACUGGAACUGAGACACGGUCCAGACUCCUACGGGAGGCAGCAGUAGGGAAUCUUCCGCAAUGGGCGAAAGCCUGACGCAGCAACGCCGCGUGAGUGAUGAAGGUCUUCGGAUCGUAAAGCUCUGUUAUUAGGGAAGAACAAAUGUGUAAGUAACUAUGCACGUCUUGACGGUACCUAAUCAGAAAGCCACGGCUAACUACGUG